AGAACGAACGCUGGCGGCAUGCCUAAUACAUGCAAGUCGAACGAACACUUCGGUGUUAGUGGCGCACGGGUGCGUAACGCGUGGGAAUCUGCCCUUGGGUUCGGAAUAACAGUUGGAAACGACUGCUAAUACCGGAUGAUAUCGAAAGAUCAAAGAUUUAUCGCCCAGGGAUGAGCCCGCGUAGGAUUAGCUAGUUGGUGAGGUAAAGGCUCACCAAGGCGACGAUCCUUAGCUGGUCUGAGAGGAUGAUCAGCCACACUGGGACUGAGACACGGCCCAGACUCCUACGGGAGCAGCAGGUAGGAAUAUGGACAAGUGGGCGCAAGCCUAGACUCCAGCAAUGCCGCGUGAGUGAUGAACGGCCGUUAGGGUUAGUAAAGUCUUCCUUUUAACCCGAGAUGAAUAAUGAC
rnacentral:rRNA from 1 species